UACAGAGGUCUCAAGCGUUGUUCGGAUUCAUUGGGCGUAAAGGGUGCGUAGGUGGCGCCAUAAGUCAGGUGUGAAAUCUCGGGGCUCAACCCCGAAACUGCACUUGAUACUGUGGUGCUGGAGUACUGGAGAGGAGAUUGGAAUUUACGGUGUAGCGGUGGAAUGCGUAGAGAUCCGGAAGAACACCGGUGGCGAAGGCGGUCUGCUGGGCAGUUGCUGACACUGAGGCGCGACAGCGUGGGGAGCAAACAGG
rnacentral:rRNA from 1 species